rnacentral:rRNA from 1 species
AGAUAGGAGAUAGCACUGUUCGCCAUGUCGAACACAGAAGUUAAGUCCAUUCUACGGCGGAGUACUUGGGGGGUUGCCGCCCUGGGAGAUAUGCGA